GAUGAACGCUGGCGGCGUGCCUAAUACAUGCAAGUCGAGCGAACAGACGAGGAGCUUGCUCCUCUGACGUUAGCGGCGGACGGGUGAGUAACACGUGGAUAACCUACCUAUAAGACUGGGAUAACUUCGGGAAACCGGAGCUAAUACCGGAUAAUAUAUUGAACCGCAUGGUUCAAUAGUGAAAGACGGUUUUGCUGUCACUUAUAGAUGGAUCCGCGCCGCAUUAGCUAGUUGGUAAGGUAACGGCUUACCAAGGCAACGAUGCGUAGCCGACCUGAGAGGGUGAUCGGCCACACUGGAACUGAGACACGGUCCAGACUCCUAAGGGAGGCAGCAGUAGGGAAUCUUCCGCAAAGGGCGAAAGCCUGACGGAGCAACGCCGCGUGAGUGAUGAAGGUCUUCGGAUCGUAAAACUCUGUUAUUAGGGAAGAACAAAUGUGUAAGUAACUAUGCACGCCUUGACGGUACCUAAUCAGAAAGCCACGGCUAACUACGUG
rnacentral:rRNA from 1 species